CCUGAUGACCAUAGCAAGUCGGUCCCACCCCUUCCCAUCCCGAACAGGACCGUGAAACGACUUUGCGCCGAUGAUAGUGCUGCAACCAGUGUGAACCACCAGCGUCGCUGGUGGGC
rnacentral:rRNA from 1 species